rnacentral:rRNA from 1 species
AGAGUUUGAUCCUGGCUCAGAACGAACGCUGGCGGCAGGCUUAACACAUGCAAGUCGCGGGAGAAGGUUCCUUCGGGAACUGGGCACCGGCGCACGGGUGAGUAACGCGUGGGAACGUACCCUUCGGCGGGGGACAACAGUUGGAAACGACUGCUAAUACCGCAUACGUCCGAGAGGAGAAAGGCUUCGGCCACCGAGGGAUCGGCCCGCGUUGGAUUAGCUAGUUGGUGAGGUAAAGGCUCACCAAGGCUGCGAUCCAUAGCUGGUCUGAGAGGAUGAUCAGCCACACUGGAACUGAGACACGGUCCAGACUCCUACGGGAGGCAGCAGUGGGGAAUAUUGCGCAAUGGAGGAAACUCUGACGCAGCCAUGCCGCGUGUGUGAAGAAGGCCUUCGGGUUGUAAAGCACUUUCGACGGGGAAGAUGAUGACGGUACCCGUAGAAGAAGCUCCGGCUAACUUCGUGCCAGCAGCCGCGGUAAUACGAAGGGAGCAAGCGUUGUUCGGAAUUACUGGGCGUAAAGGGCGUGUAGGCGGACCGAUCAGUCAGGGGUGAAAGCCAUGGGCUCAACCUGUGAACUGCCUUUGAUACUGUCGGUCUANAGUCCGUGAGANGAUGGCGGAAUACC